GAAUUACAACCCACCAAACAAAAACAAGGAAAGGUUUUCUCCUGGCACAUCAAAUCGGGACUAAAUCCUCCCGUUCCACAAGGGACUAAAUAAAUAUUUCCCUUUGGGAGCUGACACCCCCAUCCUCUCCGUAUGCUAAAGAGACAAGGAGGGAGAAGCCCCUGCAGCCGUGUCCCGGUGCUGCCGGAGGAGGGAUGCUGCCCGCACGGGGUGGGCAGCGGAGCCGGGACCUCCUCCCAGGUGAUGUUUAAGGCACAGAAAAAUCUCCUCAUGCCGGCGCACAAUGGCCACAUUGUAAAUCCGUCCCUUCCCAUCAUGUAGGACGUUGGGAUCGUUAGUUUUGGCUGGAAAUAAAAUAUAUAUUACACGCA
rnacentral:lncRNA from 1 species